rnacentral:rRNA from 1 species
ACUACGGGAGGCAGCAGUGAGGAAUAUUGGUCAAUGGCCGGAAGGCUGAACCAGCCAAGCCGCGUGAAGGACGAAGGUGCCAAGCAUUGUAAACUUCUUUUGUCAAGGGACAAAAUCAGGCUCGAGAGCCUGACCGAGGGUACUUGAAGAAAAAGCAUCGGCUAACUCCGUGCCAGCAGCCGCGGUAAUGCGGAGGAUGCGAGCGUUAUCCGGAUUUAUUGGGGUUAAAGGGUGCGUAGGCGGACUGUUAAGUCAGCGGUAAAACCCCGGGGCUAAACCCCGGUCAGCCGUUGAAACUGGCUGUGUUGAGAUGUCGAGAGGUAUGCGGAAUGCGCAGUGUAGCGGUGAAAUGCUUAGAUAUUGCGCAGAACUCCGAUUGCGAAGGCAGCAUACCGGCGGCGAUCUGACGCUGAGGCACGAAAGCGUGGGUAUCGAACAGGAUUAGAUACCCCUGUAGUC